rnacentral:rRNA from 1 species
CGGGAACUCUAAGGAUACUGCCAGUGACAAACUGGAGGAAGGCGGGGACGACGUCAAGUCAUCAUGGCCCUUACGACCAGGGCUACACACGUGCUACAAUGGUAGGUACAGAGGGCAGCUACACAGCGAUGUGAUGCGAAUCUUUCAAAGCCUAUCGUAGUCCAGAUUGGAGUCUGCAACUCGACUCCAUGAAGUAGGAAUCGCUAGUAAUCGCGGAUCAGAAUGCCGCGGUGAAUACGUUCCCGGGCCUUGUACACACCGCCCGUCUCACCAUGGGAGUUGUAUGCACCAGAA